rnacentral:rRNA from 1 species
AUUGAACGCUGGCGGCAGGCCUAACACAUGCAAGUCGAACGAGUGGCGGACGGGUGAGUAGUGUCUGGGAAACUGCCUGAUGGAGGGGGCUAACUACUGGAAACGGUAGCUAAUACUGCAUACCAUCAGAUGUGCCCUGGUGGGAUGAGCUAGUGGGUGGGGUAACGGCUCACCAAGGCGACGAUCCCUAGCUGGUCUGAGAGGAUGACCAGCCACACUGGAACUGAGACACGGUCCAGACUCCUACGGGAGGCAGCAGUGGGGAAUAUUGCACAAUGGGCGCAAGCCUGAUGCAGCCAUGCCGCGUGUAUGAAGAAGGCCUUCGGGUUGUAAAGUACUUUCAGCGGGGAGGCGUUACCCGCAGAAGAAGCACCGGCUAACUCCGUGCCAGCCGCCGCGGUAAUAC